rnacentral:lncRNA from 1 species
UCGUCCCUAUGCCAGCAUUUUGUUUCCAUCGAAAGAAAUUAGUGGCGUCCACCCGUGCCUGUGCAUUCUGCAAAUGAGCUUCUAUGAGAUGUAUUACUGGAAGGUCUCAGGUGUAUGCUGAAUGGUCGUCCUGAGAAGGACUGUUGGACAUAAGAUGUUUAUGAGAAGAGUAAUUAAUGCCAUUGACAGAAGAUGGGCAGACAGCAGCUAGGCAUGGGCUUUGAGGAUGGUUCAAGCCACAGCACCACAGAGGAAGAGCAUAGGCAAUGUUCUCUGUAGGGGAAGAGCAGCUGGGGAGCAGAAGGGAUGCAAGACUCUGGUCAAGUUGAUGUGUAACCAUCCCAGCAGAGGUGAAGAUACUCUAGGCAGCAUGGCCAUAUUGAACAAAUCUACAUUGUAUUUCACUAAUAAUUUGGCUGUUUUAACUGGUUUACUAAGGAAGAUGACUGAACCUGGCUUGCAACAGCAACUAGGAGCAGCAGAGAACAGCAGGGAGCAGCAGGACCCAGCCUCCUCCUCCUCCUCCUCCUCCUCCUCCUCCUCCUCCUCCAGAGCAUUCCUUGCCCCUCUUGGAGCCCUGUUAUUUAUAACCUCUCCAGCGUUUCCAUAAUUAAACUAUCUGCAGCUGACAAAAAUCAUGUCCCUUCGAGAGCAAGAGACAAUCAUAGUUAACAACUGUGGACACACUGAGGCAGCUUCACAUCCCACACCUGGGAUUAAAACACAAACAGAUUCAUAUAACAUAACUGGGUUUUUAAAGAAAACAAAGCUCUCAUGAAAUAACCACGCUUCUGUUUUCUUUUCAGAAUUUCUUAUGCGCGUACUGUAUUUCCACCCUUCUCGCUCCUCCCCCAGCUCCUCUUACCU